CAGUGCUAUGUGAGAUUAAGUUAU
rnacentral:misc_RNA from 1 species